CGCGUUGGCCCAAUUGAUUGAUGGUGCUUGCACCUGAUUGAUUUUGGUCGCCAACGAGUGGCGGACGGGUGAGUAACACGUAGGUAACCUGCCCAGAAGCGGGGGACAACAUUUGGAAACAGAUGCUAAUACCGCAUAACAGCGUUGUUCGCAUGAACAACGCUUAAAAGAUGGCUUCUCGCUAUCACUUCUGGAUGGACCUGCGGUGCAUUAGCUUGUUGGUGGGGUAACGGCCUACCAAGGCGAUGAUGCAUAGCCGAGUUGAGAGACUGAUCGGCCACAAUGGGACUGAGACACGGCCCAUACUCCUACGGGAGGCAGCAGUAGGGAAUCUUCCACAAUGGGCGCAAGCCUGAUGGAGCAACACCGCGUGAGUGAAGAAGGGUUUCGGCUCGUAAAGCUCUGUUGUUAAAGAAGAACACGUAUGAGAGUAACUGUUCAUACGUUGACGGUAUUUAACCAGAAAGUCACGGCUAACUACGUGCCAGCAGCCGCGGUAAUACGUAGGUGGCAAGCGUUAUCCGGAUUUAUUGGGCGUAAAGAGAGUGCAGGCGGUUUUCUAAGUCUGAUGUGAAAGCCUUCGGCUUAACCGGAGAAGUGCAUCGGAAACUGGAUAACUUGAGUGCAGAAGAGGGUAGUGGAACUCCAUGUGUAGCGGUGGAAUGCGUAGAUAUAUGGAAGAACACCAGUGGCGAAGGCGGCUACCUGGUCUGCAACUGACGCUGAGACUCGAAAGCAUGGGUAGCGAACAGGAUUAGAUACCCUGGUAGUCCAUGCCGUAAACGAUGAGUGCUAGGUGUUGGAGGGUUUCCGCCCUUCAGUGCCGGAGCUAACGCAUUAAGCACUCGCUG
rnacentral:rRNA from 2 species